ACACUGCAAACCCCAAUGCAGACAGACACCCACCCUCUAUCUGGGCUAUGCCAAAGAGCUGGACCAGAACAGUUUGUGUACCUCAUUCGUCGGAAACACUGCGAUACCUCGUGAAAGAGGACCCAAAAGCGACUUAACAGAAA